ACUCCAGACUCCUACGGGAGGCAGCAGUGGGGAAUAUUGCACAAUGGGGGGAACCCUGAUGCAGCAACGCCGCGUGAGUGAAGAAGUCAUUCGUGAUGUAAAGCUCUAUCAGCAGGGAAGAAAAUGACGGUACCUGAGUAAGAAGCACCGGCUAACUACGUGCCAGCAGCCGCGGUAAUACGUAGGGGGCAAGCGUUAUCCGGAUUUACUGGGUGUAAAGGGAGCGUAGACGGCGAUACAAGUCUGAAGUGAAAGCCCGGGGCUCAACCCCGGGACUGCUUUGGAAACUGUGUUGCUGGAGUGCUGGAGAGGCAAGCGGAAUUCCUAGUGUAGCGGUGAAAUGCGUAGAUAUUAGGAGGAACACCAGUGGCGAAGGCGGCCUGCUGGACUGCAACUGACGUUGAGGCUCGAAGGCGUGGGGAGCAAACAGGAUUAGAUACCCCAGUAGAU
rnacentral:rRNA from 1 species